UGGGGAAUAUUGCGCAAUGGGGGGAACCCUGACGCAGCCAUGCCGCGUGAAUGAAGAAGGCCUUAGGGUUGUAAAGUUCUUUCGGUAUUGAGGAAGGUUGAUGUGUUAAUAGCACAUCAAAUUGACGUUAAAUACAGAAGAAGCACCGGCUAACUCCGUGCCAGCAGCCGCGGUAAUACGGAGGGUGCGAGCGUUAAUCGGAAUAACUGGGCGUAAAGGGCACGCAGGCGGUUAUUUAAGUGAGGUGUGAAAGCCCCGGGCUUAACCUGGGAAUUGCAUUUCAGACUGGGUAACUAGAGUACUUUAGGGAGGGGUAGAAUUCCACGUGUAGCGGUGAAAUGCGUAGAGAUGUGGAGGAAUACCGAAGGCGAAGGCAGCCCCUUGGGAAUGUACUGACGCUCAUGUGCGAAAGCGUGGGGAGCAAACAGGAUUAGAUACCCUGGUAGUCCACGCUGUAAACGCUGUCGAUUUGGGGGUUGNNGUUUAACUCUGGCGCCCGUANCUNACGUGAUAAAUCGACCGNCUGGGGAGUACGGCCGCNNNGNU
rnacentral:rRNA from 1 species